rnacentral:rRNA from 1 species
AUCCCUGACAACCCGAGAGAUCGGGCGUUCCCCCGUUCGGGGGGACAGGGUGACAGGUGGUGCAUGGUUGUCGUCAGCUCGUGUCGUGAGAUGUUGGGUUAAGUCCCGCAACCGAGCGCAAACCCUCGACCUUAGUUGCCAGCAUUCAGUUGGGCACUCUAAGGUGACUGCCGGCUAAAAGUCGGAGGAAGGUGGGGAUGACGUCAAAUCAUCAUGCCCCUUAUGACCUGGGCUACACACGUGCUACAAUGGGCGGUACAAAGGGUCGCGAACCCGCGAGGGGGAGCCAAUCCCAAAAAGCCGCUCUCAGUUCGGAUUGCAGGCUGCAACUCGCCUGCAUGAAGCCGGAAUCGCUAGUAAUCGCGGAUCAGCAUGCCGCGGUGAAUACGUUCCCGGGCCUU